GACGAACCGUGCGAACGUUGUUCGGAAUCACUGGGCUUAAAGGGCGCGUAGGCGGGCGAGCAAGUUCGGGGUGAAAUCUUUCGGCUCAACCGGAAAAGGGCCUCGGAGACUGCUCGUCUGGAGGGAGGUAGGGGCAGGUGGAACUGCUGGUGGAGCGGUGAAAUGCGUUGAUAUCAGCAGGAACGCCGGUGGCGAAAGCGACCUGCUGGACCUCUUCUGACGCUGAGGCGCGAAAGCUAGGGGAGCAAACGGGG
rnacentral:rRNA from 1 species